GCACGUGAAAGCUUAAGAUUCAAAAGUUGAACCAACUUUAACCGGUUGACAUGCACGACAUAAGACAGCAACGUACGGUGUUUCUCUGUUUCUUUCUUUGUCUCCCACACUUUGUCUAAAAUCAGAUCAAUAAUGAUUGAGCAAAAGUAUCCAAUUGCAUUUCGUCAUCGUCGUUUUGGUUCAGAAUCUGCAGAUACUCUUCGUAAAGCUUCUCUAAUGAUGAGCUAUCAUCUUCACUUACCAACACAGUGGACUCGCACUCGAAUUGAAUAUCAAGGUCAUCGGCCAGAAACCCCCUCAUGUUUUCACCACCAUGGUCGGCGGCGUAGGCAUAGUCCGACGAAGGGUUUCCUCCUGCUUGGGUGUUCGCAUUGCAUUGGUGGUUGUCCAAUUCGAAGCUUUGGUUUCUUGGGAAAGAAGAUUUGGUAACCCUAAUGGGUUUCGGGAGAUGAAUUUUGGGUCUCUCGGAAAAUGUUUUGCUUGUGUCACUGAUG
rnacentral:lncRNA from 1 species